GGAUGUGAGGGUGAUCUGGCGGCCACAUCUGUCACCCCAGUGAUUGCAGGGUUGAUUCAGCUGAUCUGGCUGGCCGGGCAGUGUUCCCUACCUCCUUCUCCUCUCUAUGUGUGUCCCUUCCAGAGCUGCAUGCUGAAUGGAAUAGGACAACCACCCUGAUAGAGGACAACUCGAGUGUCUACCUUGGUAAAUGCUACACAGAGAGCUGGAACCUCCAAAUAAGCUCUCAGACAGGACAGGGUUCCCUGGGGCUCAAGCUCAGGGUGACUGGAGCCUACACACUCAGCCCCUGCACUGGACCCUGCCAGAACAGCCGCUGCCACAGUCUGCACCAGGCA
rnacentral:snRNA from 1 species